AGUAUGAAAAGAGAAUCUUACGUUUAGUCUCUCUCUCCCAUUUCUUGACAUCUCCAUCUCUCUCUCACAUUUCUCCCAUUGCUCCUCAAUUUCUGGCAAUCACUAUCUCAAUUUCAAGCUCUCAUCGGCAUGGGUCGCAGGAAAUGAAGAUGGUGUAACUACUUUUCAAAUGGACAUUAAGGUGGCUGGAAUUACUUUCCCUACCAAACAAAGGAUGGUCGGAAGCAUAUCCUUGGUAAUUUUACAAAGAUGCAUACUAAAUAGUGAUGAAAUUUUCCCAAAUUUCUUCUUGCAGUAUUUCUGACUACAAUUUUUAAUAUUGUUGCACCAAAUUUCCAUGUAUGGGCCUUUAAUAUUUGAACAUUUUUUUUCUUUUUUCCUGUUGUUAUAUGAUUGAGUGUGUCUACAUGAAUUAAUGCAGCUGAAAUGUUGAAGUGCUCACCUCCUCCGUCCAAAGCGCUUUCAAAGCAUGCCCCCCUGAUUCAUGUCAUGAAGGCCUGUUAACGCUUGGAGCCAUAUAAUAUAUAUAUAUUGCUUCAAUGCUUGGAAUUGAUGGUUUGCAACAGUAUUGUGAUUCUUGUUUACAUGAUCUUGUUCGACUACAGGUCAGACCUGAGAAGAUAUACAUGUAAUCAUUGGUAGUGGUGGGAAGAAGGUAAAGAGCAUUAUAGAAGAGACAGUAGUAGAUGCUAUUGACACAGAAGAGGACGGGACUGUAAGAUCAGAAGAAAGCCUUGUGAAAAUCACCUCAAGGGAUUUGUUAAGCUUGGAAAAAGCUAGAGCAAUUAUAAGUAAUAUGACAAUGGUUCCAAGUGUAGGCGAUAUAUAUAGUUGUUAAGUGGUUAGAGUUUCUGUCCUUUGAACUCUCACUCAAGAACUGUGAGAUCAAGUCAAUAACAAAUUAUGGAGCUUUUGUAGAGAUAGCACCUGGACGGGAGGGACUUUGCCAUGUUAGUGAGUUGAGUUCGAAUUAUAUAGCAAAGCCAGAAGACGGAUAAUUAGUAUCGAAGAUAUUGUUGGAAGUGUUACUGCUUGGCUCACCGACAAAGUUAUAAUGAGGUAAAGAAUGAUCUUACCUGUAAUAAUGAGUUGUAUCAUAUUGCUUCUGGAACUGUUAUGUGAAAUUGCAUUUUAUUUCAGUAACUAUUAAUUUUGAUAAACACCUCAUAGGAAUGGAGGUGCUCAUUGUUUGUUCUCUUAAGAAAUCAUCUAGUCUCUUGGACUUGUAAUUCACUUUUACGCUAUCUUCUCUUCAUAGUUUUGACUAAAUAAUUUAUAUUCUCACUGCUAUUAAAUGUGAGAGAUGUCUUAAAUCCGGAUCAUUAAUUGCUUUGAAAUU